GAAAUAACCAUGGAUAUGGGUAGAGACAGAGCCAUAUGGAAUGCACACUGCAGUGGUGAACACAUGGCCCAGCUCUGCCAUCAAGGAGAAGGAACAUGAAUGGAGCUGGAGGCCAUCAUCCUUAGUGAACUAACACAGGAGCAGAAAACCAAAUACCACAUGUUCUCAUGUGUAAGUGGGAGCUAAAUGAUGAGAACACAUGGACACAAAGAGGGGAACAACAGACACUGAAGCCUCCUUGAGGGAGGAGGGUAAGAGGAAGGAGAAGAUCAGAAAAGAUAACUACCAGGUACUAUGGUAGCUUAGUACCUGGGUGAUGAAAUAAUCUGUACACCCAACCCUCAUGACAGAAGUUUACCUGUGUAACAAACCUGCACAUGUAUCCC
rnacentral:lncRNA from 1 species